AGAGCGAACGCUAGCGGGAUGCUUUACACAUGCAAGUCGAACGGCAGCGCGGACUUCGGUCUGGCGGCGAGUGGCGAACGGGUGAGUAAUAUAUCGGAACGUGCCCAGUAGCGGGGGAUAACUACGCGAAAGCGUGGCUAAUACCGCAUACGCCCUACGGGGGAAAGGGGGGAUUCUUCGGAACCUCUCACUAUUGGAGCGGCCGAUAUCAGAUUAGCUAGUUGGUGAGGUAAAGGCUCACCAAGGCGACGAUCUGUAGCUGGUUUGAGAGGACGACCAGCCACACUGGGACUGAGACACGGCCCAGACCUCGGACGG
rnacentral:rRNA from 1 species